AUGUUUAUAAUGUGGUUAGUCCUUCAUCCCCUAGAGAUAAAUUGUUGGUCUAAUUAUCCAGCAUUCUUGUUCCACUUCAGGUGCAAGGAGGAGCAUGUGGCUGACCCUGCAUCUGCACAGACGCUGCAAGAACAGGAUGUCUUGCGCUUAAAGGAGUUGCUCGAACUACAAUAUCGAUUGAAUUGUACGAGCCAUUGUCCAUCACUGCCACUUCCUCGUCCUCUCCGCUGGACACCAUUGAGAUCUCACCAUGAUCAUGGCGCUGCCUUUCCUCGUCAUUCAUAUGGGCUCUUGCUGCUCUGCAAGAGCUUGAUUGGGUCAUUGGGAUUCACAUUUCACACCAUUGAAACAUCUUGA
rnacentral:rRNA from 1 species